CCCAAAGCGUAACGGAGGAGCACGAAGGUUAGCUAAUCCUGGUCGGACAUCAGGAGGUUAGUGCAAUGGCAUAAGCUAGCUUGACUGCGAGCGUGACGGCGCGAGCAGGUGCGAAAGCAGGUCAUAGUGAUCCGGUGGUUCUGAAUGGAAGGGCCAUCGCUCAACGGAUAAAAGGUACUCCGGGGAUAACAGGCUGAUACCGCCCAAGAGUUCAUAUCGACGGCGGUGUUUGGCACCUCGAUGUCGGCUCAUCACAUCCUGGGGCUGAAGUAGGUCCCAAGGGUAUGGCUGUUCGCCAUUUAAAGUGGUACGCGAGCUGGGUUUAGAACGUCGUGAGACAGUUCGGUCCCUAUCUGCCGUGGGCGCUGGAGAAUUGAGGGGGGCUGCUCCUAGUACGAGAGGACCGGAGUGGACGCAUCACUGGUGUUCGGGUUGUCAUGCCAAUGGCACUGCCCGGUAGCUAAAUGCGGAAGAGAUAAGUGC
rnacentral:rRNA from 1 species